UGAGUAUGUUGUGCUGUUAGGUAGGUAGAUGACGUAAUGGGUAGGUGGCGUAUAAAGUCUCGCCGGCGUCAAGGAAACAGCGUUUGCUCUCGUUCUACGCUUGGUGAGCGAGUUUGUGUUUCUUCCUCUGCUGGCGCGUUGAAGGAACGGCUUGACCCAUUGUGUCCGACAAUUCAGAGAUUGUUCUGGUUUUAAUAAUCGCGGUGAGAGCAGAGUGCGCUUGUCAUUUUGCGCUUUGUUACGGCCACUGGACGACGUCAAAACCUUCUUUGGCAAGUGGCCAUCGUUUUUUUCCCACCGAACUUGGGAUUUGGUUGUUUUGUUUUUUUGAUUUGUGACAUUCAUUUUGCUGGAUCUGCCUGUCUUAUUUAAAUGGUAUAGUGCUGUAUUGGGAGGCCUUGUUUGAUUUGUGUGUUUUACAUAUAAUGGUUUGAUUGGGUUUGAUUUGGGUUUGUUUUUUUUCUUCUUCCUCCCAUGUGGUAUAUUUCCCAUUUUAGUAUUCUAGGUUGAUUUGGGUGUUAUUUUGAGUGCCAUUCUUAUGUUUUCUUUUGGUUUAAAGUAUG